rnacentral:rRNA from 1 species
AAAUGAAUUGACGGGGACCCGCACAAGCGGUGGAGCAUGUUCUUUAAUACGACGCAACGCGUAGAACCUUACCAAGACUUGACAUGUAACUGCGCGUCCUAUGAAAGUAGGACUUUCUUCGAGAGAGUUACACAGGUGUUGCAUGGCUGUCGUCAGCUCGUGUCGUGAGAUGUUGGGUUAAGUCCCGCAACGAGCGCAACCCUUGUUAUUAGUUGCCAGCGAGUAAAGUUGGGCACUCUAAUGAGACUGCCGGUGAUAAACCGGAGGAAGGUGGGGAUGACGUCAAGUCAGUACGGCCCUUACGUCUUGGGCUAGAAACGUGCUACAAUGGCGAUGACAAAGGGAAGCGAAGCCGCGAGGUGGAGCCAAACUCAAAAAUAUCGUCUCAGUUCGGAUUGGAGUCUGCAAUUCGACUCCAUGAAGCCGGAAUCGCUAGUAAUGGCGUAUCAGCUACGACGCCGUGAAUACGUUCCCGGGUCUUGUACACACCGCCCGU